UUAAUAUUUUUUUUUAUAAUGAUAGCAUAAAUAAUUCAAUUUUUUAUAUAUAAUGCGUCAUACAAAGAUAAUGUCAGCGAACGUUUCAGAUCAGAAGAGUUUGAUGUUGAGAUAUUUAAUUCGCUAACAUUUAGACAAGGGGAUGGUGUUGUAACAAUAAAAACGCCUUUUGAAGAAAAAGCCUAGGAGCUUUGGGUGAUAAGCCACUAUAAGGUCGCCAACAUUGAGAAUGUGCCAGUAAAGGACAGAUGGAACUUCAGCGAAGCUACUAUUAGAUUGUACACAAGCGAUGAAUCAAAAGAUCAAACACUUCAUACUGGACUCAAUGAGACGAUGCCAACUAUAUUUGAUAAAUUACUAACUGAUCCGAAGCGUCAAACUAUUAAGAGCAAGACGAGUGUUUGAUUAUUAUAUG
rnacentral:lncRNA from 1 species